GCGCCUGUGGCUCAAAGGAGUGGGGCCCUGGCCUCAUACGCCAGAGGUGGCGGGUUCAAACCCAGCCCUGGGCCA
rfam:Otolemur garnettii contig022672, whole genome shotgun sequence.